CCGGAGUUUAGCAAGACUCCCAAACCCCUGUGAACUAUACGCACUGUUGCCUUCGGCGGGAUGCAGCCCGGGCUCCGUUACCGAGGACGGUCAGCCGCCAGAGGACAGCCUAAAACUCUGUUUCUAUAUGUACGUUGCAUCUGAGGAAAACCAUAAAUAAAGUCA
rnacentral:misc_RNA from 1 species